rnacentral:ncRNA from 1 species
CAAAAAGCAAUGAAGGGAUCACAGUAGUGAGGAUCUUACUGUAACAGAGAGCUGAUGGUUGGUGCGAAUCAGUACAGGGAUAACCAUGAAUUACAGUCCUGGAGCAUCUUUUUCGGAUUAAAGAUUUAUAAAUUCUUUAUGAGGAAAAAGCGGUCUAAUAGAUCGUUAACAGUGAAGAGAGGUAGACGAAAUAAGUCUGCAAUUAGGGUGGUACCGCGAUAAAUAUCGUCCCUACU